rnacentral:rRNA from 1 species
AUUGAACGCUGGCGGCAUGCUCUACACAUGCAAGUCGAGCGGCAGCGCGGGCUUCGGCCUGGCGGCGAGUGGCGAACGGGUGAGUAAUACAUCGGAACGUGCCCAGUAGUGGGGGAUAGCUCGGCGAAAGCCGGAUUAAUACCGCAUACGACCUGAGGGUGAAAGCGGGGGAUCUUCGGACCUCGCGCUAUUGGAGCGGCCGAUGGCAGAUUAGCUAGUUGGUGGGGUAAAGGCCUACCAAGGCGACGAUCUGUAGCUGGUCUGAGAGGACGACCAGCCACACUGGGACUGAGACACGGCCCAGACUCCUACGGGAGGCAGCAGUGGGGAAUUUUGGACAAUGGGCGAAAGCCUGAUCCAGCAAUGCCGCGUGUGUGAUGAAGGCCUUCGGGUUGUAAAGCACUUUUGGCGGGAACGAAAAGGACUGUGCCAAUACCACGGUUCGAUGACGGUACCCGCAGAAUAAGCACCGGCUAACUACGUG